rnacentral:rRNA from 1 species
GUGUCAGCAGCCGCGGUAAUACAGAGGUGGCGAGCGUUGUUCGGAUUUACUGGGCGUAAAGGGUGCGUAGGCGGUUCUGUGUGUCGGAUGUGAAAUCUCACUGAAAACGGUGAAACGGCAUUCGAAACUACAGGGCUGGAGUGCAGGAGAGGAUGGCGGAAUUCUCGGUGUAGCGGUGAAAUGCGUUGAUAUCGAGAGGAACGCCGGUGGCGAAGGCGGCCAUCUGGACUGCAACUGACGCUGAGGCACGAAAGCUAGGGGAGCAAACAGGAUUAGAUACCCGUGUAGUCC